rnacentral:rRNA from 1 species
CGGACGGGUGAGUAAUGCUUGGGAAUCUGGCUCAUGGAGGGGGAUAACUACGGGAAACUGUAGCUAAUACCGCGUAGUAUCGGAAGAUGAAAGUGUGGGACCGCAAGGCCACAUGCCAUGAGAUGAGCCCAAGUGGGAUUAGGUAGUUGGUUAGGUAAAGGCUGACCAAGCCGACGAUCUCUAGCUGGUCUGAGAGGAUGACCAGCCACACUGGAACUGAGACACGGUCCAGACUCCUACGGGAGGCAGCAGUGGGGAAUAUUGCACAAUGGGGGAAACCCUGAUGCAGCCAUGCCGCGUGAAUGAAGAAGGCCUUCGGGUUGUAAAGUUCUUUCGGUGAUGAGGAAGGUGUUUGUUUUAAUAGGACAAGCAAUUGACGUUAGUCACAGAAGAAGCACCGGCUAACUCCGUGCCAGCAGCCGCGGUAAUACGGAGGGUGCGAGCGUUAAUCGGAAUAACUGGGCGUAAAGGGCACGCAGGCGGUGACUUAAGUGAGAUGUGAAAGCCCCGAGCUUAACUUGGGAAUUGCAUUUCAUACUGGGUCGCUAGAGUACUUUAGGGAGGGGUAGAAUUCCACGUGUAGCGGUGAAAUGCGUAGAGAUGUGGAGGAAUACCGAAGGCGAAGGCAGCCCCUUGGGAAUGUACUGACGCUCAUGUGCGAAAGCGUGGGGAGCAAACAGGAUUAGAUACCCUGGUAGUCCACGCUGUAAACGCUGUCGAUUUGGGGAUUGGGCUUAGAGCUUGGUGCCCGUAGCUAACGUGAUAAAUCGACCGCCUGGGGAGUACGGCCGC